UACAGAGGAUGCAAGCGUUAUCCGGAAUGAUUGGGCGUAAAGAGCGUGUAGGCGGCCUUACAGGUCAGCUGUGAAAACUCGAGGCUCAACCUCGAGACGUCGGCGGAAACCAUCUGGCUAGAGUCCGGAAGAGGAGAGUGGAAUUCCUGGUGUAGCGGUGAAAUGCGCAGAUAUCAGGAAGAACACCCGUGGCGGAAGGCGGCGUCUCUGGGACGGUACUGACGCUGAGACGCGAAAGCGUGGGGAGCGAACAGG
rnacentral:rRNA from 1 species